CAACCUCCACAGGCUGGCUGGGCAAGUAUUUCUUCAAAAGGUUCACCCUCAAGCACGACUAGGAGC
rnacentral:pre_miRNA from 1 species